rnacentral:rRNA from 1 species
AUUGAACGCUGGCGGCAGGCCUAACACAUGCAAGUCGAGCGAGCGGCGGACGGGUGAGUAAUGUCUGGGACACUGCCUGAUGGAGGGGGAUAACUACUGGAAACGGUAGCUAAUACCGCAUACCAUCAGAUGUGCCCAGAGGGGAUUGGCUAGUAGGUGGGGUAGUGGCUCACCUAGGCGACGAUCCCUAGCUGGUCUGAGAGGAUGACCAGCCACACGGGAACUGAGACACGGUCCAGACUCCGACGGGGGGCAGCAGUGGGGAAUAGUGGACAAUGGGCGCAAGCGUGAGGCAGCCAGGCCGCGUGUAUGAAGAAGGCCUUCGGGUGGUAAAGUACUUUCAGCGGGGAGGCGUUACCCGCAGAAGAAGCACCGGCUAACUCCGUGCCAGCAGCCGCGGUAAUUC